rnacentral:piRNA from 1 species
UACAAUUCAGAUUACAAUUCAAAAUGAGAUU